AUUGAACGCUGGCGGCAGGCCUAACACAUGCAAGUCGAACGGUAGCACAGAGAGCUUGCUCUCGGGUGACGAGUGGCGGACGGGUGAGUAACGUCUGGGAAACUGCCCGAUGGAGGGGGAUAACUACUGGAAACGGUAGCUAAUACCGCAUAACGUCGCAAGACCAAAGUGGGGGACCUUCGGGCCUCACACCAUCGGAUGUGCCCGGAUGGGAUUAGCUAGUAGGUGGGGUAAUGGCUCACCUAGGCGACGAUCCCUAGCUGGUCUGAGAGGAUGACCAGCCACACUGGAACUGAGACACGGUCCAGACUCCUACGGGAGGCAGCAGUGGGGAAUGUUGCACAAUGGGCGCAAGCCUGAUGCAGCCAUGCCGCGUGUAUGAAGAAGGCCUUCGGGUUGUAAAGUACUUUCAGCGGGGAGGAAGGCGGUGAAGUUAAUAACUUCACCGAUUGACGUUACCCGCAGAAGAAGCACCGGCUAACUCCGUGCCAGCCGCCGCAGUAA
rnacentral:rRNA from 1 species